rnacentral:rRNA from 1 species
GACGAACGCUGGCGGCGUGCUUAACACAUGCAAGUCGAACGGAAAGGCCCUGCUUUUGUGGGGUGCUCGAGUGGCGAACGGGUGAGUAACACGUGAGUAACCUGCCCUUGACUUUGGGAUAACUUCAGGAAACUGGGGCUAAUACCGGAUAGGAGCUCCUGCUGCAUGGUGGGGGUUGGAAAGUUUCGGCGGUUGGGGAUGGACUCGCGGCUUAUCAGCUUGUUGGUGGGGUAGUGGCUUACCAAGGCUUUGACGGGUAGCCGGCCUGAGAGGGUGACCGGCCACAAUGGGACUGAGAUACGGACCAGACUCCUACGGGAGGCAGCAGUGGGGAGUAUUGCACAAUGGGCGGGAGCCUGAUGCAGCAGCGCCGCGUGCGGGAUGACGGCCUUCGGGUUGUAAACCGCUUUCGCCUGUGACGAAGCGUGAGUGACGGUAAUGGGUAAAGAAGCACCGGCUAACUACGUG